rnacentral:rRNA from 1 species
UACGUAGGGUGCGAGCGUUAAUCGGAAUUACUGGGCGUAAAGCGUGCGCAGGCGGUUUUGUAAGCCAGAUGUGAAAUCCCCGGGCUUAACCUGGGAAUGGCAUUUGGGACUGCAAGGCUGGAGUUUGGCAGAGGAGACUGGAAUUCCUGGUGUAGCAGUGAAAUUCGUAGAUAUUAGGAAGAACACCAGUGGCGAAGGCGGCUCACUGGCUCGGUACUGACGCUGAGGCGCGAAAGCGUGGGGAGCAAACAGG